UUUAAUUCAAGGAAGGGGCCAAUGACUUUAGUGAAUAACCCCAUAAGUAGACGGGUUUGGGGUGCAUUCAGUAGGGGCGUCUGUAUAUCAUUGUUUACCAGGGCAACCCAAUUUUAAAGGGAUUUAUAUUAAUGCAAAAAAGAAACAAAAACAAAUAAAACAUAUGGUAUUAAGAUGUUCCUUCACAAAAGUAUUUUGCUUUUUUUUUUUCGAUUAGCUGACAUAUUCCAUUGUUUGUGAUAGACAUUGUUCCAAAUUUAGCAUUAGUACCUUGGAAUGCUG